GCAAGUCGCGCGCGAACGACCUUCGGGUUUAGUAGAGCGGCGGAAGGGUGAGUAAUAGCUCGUUAACGUACCUCUUGGAUUGGGAUAACUGGCCGAAAGGCCAUCGUAAUACCGAAUUGGACCACGAUUCCUCCGGGAUUAGUGGUGAAAAGGGCGGGAUCCUUCGGGACCGCCCGCCAAGGGAGCGGACGAGCCCCGAUUAGCUAGUUGGUGGGGUAAUGGCCUACCAAGGCGAUGAUCGGUAGCCGGCCUGAGAGGGUGUCC
rnacentral:rRNA from 1 species